UCCUUGAGAGUCAGGUUAAAGAAGUCCUCAGCAAAGUCCCACUGUAAGAUGUCAUCAAACUGCCAGCUCUCAUAGACCAACAGCUGGGCCGGGGGCACAGGUCCUGCCACCCCCAGGAGGAACACCAGCUUCAGCUGCCGACCCCUAGCCCAGCUCCCAGCCCGGCCCCAAGUGCUUCGAAUGGCUGAACGCUGUUCAAUAUGAGCAGGCUGUGACUUGAUGACCAGGAGCAGGAAGGUGUCCCUGGCACACUCCGAAGGCUCCAGCAAGAUGGAGAAGUUUCGGCAGUGUCGAUAGGUUAAGAAGAGGCGAUGACGGCUGGGCAGGGACAGGGAGGUGUUAACAACUGUUAGGUUGGGUGAGCACUGGCUAUGGUGGGACCUUGGCAGUGCCAAGAACUGCUGGUGGGCCUUGGAGCUGCCUGCUGGUAUGCGCUCCUUCAGAAGGAGCAGGCAGCUGAGCAGUAGUACCACAAGACUGCAGAACAGCACACAGCCCAACCUGGGCAACAUAGUCGAAGCCCUGUGGGGAGAGAGCACCCGAGCUAGGCUCACACAGUCCCUGUUUCGGGAGCAAAGUGAGUUCCUUGCAACCCUUCAGCUAAGUCCUUGCCCAAUUCUGGGACUUUUGGUUUUCAUUUUUGAUUAGGCCAGCCUAGCCUUGAACCAGUGACAAGUCUCUCACCUCAGCCUCUCCAAGAGCUGGGCACGAGCCACUCCGCAGAGGUGUUUCCUGGAGAAGAGACUUAAAUCAUCGGCCCUGCCAGCCCUUACCUGCCUCCUGCCACCUUCUUGGCAGGGCUCAACAUUUUCCUCCCAUGUGGCUUGUAGCUAUCAUACAGCUGAGACACAAUGAACAUUCUCAAGUUACCAUAUGGACUUUUAGGGGAAAUAGAGCCAUAGUCCUGUGUUGCAUGCCUUAUAAGCAUGAAACCUGACAUUCAAUCCACAGCCAAAGUCAGCUUGGUCUCCAGCAUGUCCUGUAGUUUCUGGGUAAUAUAGCCCCGGCAACAUCAGAGUCCCAGGCCUCUUGGGAGAGGGAACUGCACGACAGGGUAACAGGCAGUGGUGGGUCACAGAGCAUGAGGAAUGUGGGGAGCAGGGGGUGCUCAUAACUGGGAACCAAGGGGGAAAAAGUCUUCACUAGAGUAGUUUGCCCAAGGUCUGCAGUAACAAAUCAGCCUUACUUUCCUUCCUGUCAUUUGUCACUGCCUGUUCUGCCUAAUAGUUUUCUGACACACACGCACACCCCACACACAAGGCAGGGUCUUUGACAUAUGCUUACUACUUUACCAAAUAAACCUCAUGCCCAAAAAACC
rnacentral:lncRNA from 1 species